GACGUUAUUUACAUGCGGGCGUAAAUCGCGGUGUAAGGUAAUAUGCAAGAACGAGAGUCGGCGUUACUUGCUCUCAGUGGCGGGAACUGUGUGAUGAGCAGAG